rnacentral:rRNA from 1 species
CACGUAGGGGACGAGCGUUGUCCGGAUUCAUUGGGCGUAAAGCGCGCGUAGGCGGCUCGGAAAGUCGGUCGUGAAAUGCCGGGGCUCAACCCCGGGACUGCGUCCGAUACUUCCGGGCUGGAGGUAGGUAGGGGAGAUCGGAAUUCCUGGUGUAGCGGUGGAAUGCGCAGAUAUCAGGAAGAACACCCGUGGCGAAGGCGGCUCUCUGGGACGGUACUGACGCUGAGACGCGAAAGCGUGGGGAGCGAACAGG